rnacentral:tRNA from 1 species
CGGCGUAGCUCAGUUGGUAGAGCAGCUGAUUCGUAAUCAGCAGGUCGCGGGUUCAAAUCCCUUCGCCG